CCYGGUUUWCAAAAACAUCUCUUCUUGUUAGUUUUUGAAGUAUGGCCUGCCCACUGACUUAUAUGUUGAAGGGCCGCGGUAUUAUUGACCGUGCAAAGGUAGCAUAAUCAUUAGUUCUUUAAUUGUGAUCUGGUAUGAAUGGCUUGACGAGACAUGAGCUGUCUCGAGGGUAUUGUUUAUUGAAUUUAAUUUUUGAGUUAAAAUUCUUAGAUGUUUUUAUGUGACGAGAAGACCCUAUAGAGUUUAACAUUUUGUUUUCUGUAAGUUUUGUUUGUAUUAUUUUAUUUUUAGUUAAUUAAGUGUUUUGUUGGGGUGAUGGGAGGAAUUUUUUUAACUCCUCUUUGUUUUUGUAUAUUUAUGUAUAUAUUCUUGAUCCAUUUUUUGUGAUUAUAAGAUUAAAUUACCUUAGGGAUAACAGCGUUAUCUUCCUUGAGAGUUCUUAUUGGCAGGAAGGUUUGCGACCUCGAUGUUGGAUUAAGGUGAAUUUUCGGUGCAGGAGCUGAAGUUGAUUAGGUCUGUUCGACCUUUAAAAUCUUACGUGAUCUGAGUU
rnacentral:rRNA from 1 species